CGAACGCUGGCGGCGUGCCUAAUACAUGCAAGUAGAACGCUGAAGAGAGGAGCUUGCUCUUCUUGGAUGAGUUGCGAACGGGUGAGUAACGCGUAGGUAACCUGCCUGGUAGCGGGGGAUAACUAUUGGAAACGAUAGCUAAUACCGCAUAAAAUGGAUUAUCGCAUGAUAAUCCAUUGAAAGGUGCAAAUGCAUCACUACCAGAUGGACCUGCGUUGUAUUAGCUAGUUGGUGGGGUAACGGCUCACCAAGGCGACGAUACAUAGCCGACCUGAGAGGGUGAUCGGCCACACUGGGACUGAGACACGGCCCAGACUCCUACGGGAGGCAGCAGUAGGGAAUCUUCGGCAAUGGACGGAAGUCUGACCGAGCAACGCCGCGUGAGUGAAGAAGGUUUUCGGAUCGUAAAGCUCUGUUGUAAGAGAAGAACGAGUGUGAGAGUGGAAAGUUCACACUGUGACGGUAUCUUACCAGAAAGGGACGGCUAACUACGUGCCAGCAGCCGCGGUAAUACGUAGGUCCCGAGCGUUGUCCGGAUUUAUUGGGCGUAAAGCGAGCGCAGGCGGUUAGAUAAGUCUGAAGUUAAAGGCUGUGGCUUAACCAUAGUACGCUUUGGAAACUGUUUAACUUGAGUGCAAAAGGGGAGAGUGGAAUUCCAUGUGUAGCGGUGAAAUGCGUAGAAAUAUGGAGGAACACCGGUGGCGAAAGCGGCUCUCUGGCUUGUAACUGACGCUGAGGCUCGAAAGCGUGGGGAGCAAACAGGAUUAGAUACCCCUGGUAGUCCACGCCGUAAACGAUGAGUGCUAGGUGUUAGACCCUUUCCGGGGUUUAGUGCCGCAGCUAACGCAUUAAGCACUCCGCCCGGGGAGUACGACCGCAAGGU
rnacentral:rRNA from 1 species